AAGUUAUGCUACCGGUGCCUGGAACCGGGGCAUGUGUGCGAGCGGUGCGAUAGCGCCAUCGACCGCAACGAGCUCUGCUACCGCUGCGGUUACCCCGGCCACCGCGCCAAAGGGUGCCAGGAGGCGGCUCGCUGCCCGGUCUGCGCCGAGGCGGGCAGGCCUUCCGAUCAUAAGAUCGGAGGGCCUGCCUGCAAGCCCUCCAACAGGAGGGGGAGGGGGGCGAAGACGCAGGGGAAAAGGAAGCUGCCAAUCGUGGUUGAGGGAAAGGAAGAGGGGGAUGCCUGACCCCCCCCCAGGAGGAACCCAAGCAGCCGGAGAAGGCCAGUCAGGCCUUCUCCACAACGAGGGAAGAGAGAAACUCUCCGGGAGACCAGGAGGAGAAGGACUCCUUGGCGUCCUGGGGGAUUCCCGACCGAGCGUCGACGCCGGUCCUAAUGGAGGUCGAGACGCUGCCCCAGAGGAAGAGGAGGGGGGACGAGCGAAGGAAGAAGGGGACCAGCGGAUCAUCGGGGAAUAAUAAAAAGGUGAACUAUUUCUGCAAUAUCGGCGGAUUCAAUUUGAAAGAAGCCGUAAAUUUGUGCCUGAAAGAAGGCUUGGCAGACUUUUUAGCGCCAUCUUUCACCUAGUGGGGCCGAAAUAAGGAACAACGAUCUUUUUAUAAAGCUCGGAUCGUUUUAGCUAUUUAUGAUGCUGUAUGCAAAAAUCGCAAUUUUCAGAGACCAACUCGCUCCGAAUUCCAAGCAUAUAUAUGAGAAGCUCUCCGGGCAGCGGAGGAGAGAUUUCGAAGCAGAUCCCGAAGUCCGCGAACGCAAGCGGCAGAGGAUAGAAGGAACUGCCGGAAUUUUUGGAACGACGAAACAGACCAUAUAGAAGCAAUGAACGAAU